rnacentral:rRNA from 1 species
AUUGAACGCUGGCGGCAGGCCUAACACAUGCAAGUCGAACGAGUGGCGGACGGGUGAGUAAGGGCUGGGAAACUGCCUGAAGGAGGGGGAUAACUAAUGGCAACGGGAGCUAAUACCGCAUACCAUCAGUAGGGCCUAGAUGGGCGUAGAGUGUUGGUAGGGUAACGGCUCAUCAACGCGACGAUCCCUAGCUGGUCUGAGAGGAUGACCAGCCACACUGGUACUGAGACACGGUCCAGACUCCUACGGUAGGCAGCAGUGGGGAAUAUUGCACAAUGGUCGCAAGCCUGAUGCAGCCAUGCCGCGUGUAUGAAGAAGGCCUUCGGGUUGUAAUGUACUUUCAGCGGGGAGGCGUUACCCGCAGAAGAAGCACCGGCUAACUCCGUGCCAGCAGCCGCGGUAAUUC